CUACUCUUGACAUCCAGAGAAUUCGCUAGAGAUAGCUUAGUGCCUUCGGGAACUCUGAGACAGGUGCUGCAUGGCUGUCGUCAGCUCGUGUUGUGAAAUGUUGGGUUAAGUCCCGCAACGAGCGCAACCCUUAUCCUUGUUUGCCAGCACGUAAUGGUGGGAACUCCAGGGAGACUGCCGGUGAUAAACCGGAGGAAGGUGGGGACGACGUCAAGUCAUCAUGGCCCUUACGAGUAGGGCUACACACGUGCUACAAUGGCGUAUACAGAGGGCUGCAAGCUAGCGAUAGUGAGCGAAUCCCACAAAGUACGUCGUAGUCCGGAUUGGAGUCUGCAACUCGACUCCAUGAAGUCGGAAUCGCUAGUAAUCGUGAAUCAGAAUGUCACGGUGAAUACGUUCCC
rnacentral:rRNA from 1 species